rnacentral:rRNA from 1 species
UUGGAAGUAAAAGUCGUAACAAGGUUUCCGUAGGUGAACCUGCGGAAGGAUCAUUACCGAGUUUUCGAGCUCCGGCUCGACUCUCCCACCCUUUGUGAACGUACCUCUGUUGCUUUGGCGGCUCCGGCGCGCCAAAGGACCUUCAAACUCCAGUCAGUAAACGCAGACGUCUGAUAAACAAGUUAAUAAACUAAAACUUUCAACAACGGAUCUCUUGGUUCUGGCAUCGAUGAAGAACGCAGCGAAAUGCGAUAAGUAAUGUGAAUUGCAGAAUUCAGUGAAUCAUCGAAUCUUUGAACGCACAUUGCGCCCCUUGGUAUUCCGGGGGGCAUGCCUGUUCGAGCGUCAUUACAACCCUCAAGCUCUGCUUGGAAUUGGGCACCGUCCUCACUGCGGACGCGCCUCAAAGACCUCGGCGGUGGCUGUUCAGCCCUCAAGCGUAGUAGAAUACACCUCGCUUUGGAGCGGUUGGCGUCGCCCGCCGGACGAACCUUCUGAACUUUUCUCAAGGUUGACCUCGGAUCANGUAGGGAUACCCGCUGAACUUAAGCAUAUCAAUAAGCGGAGGAA